rnacentral:rRNA from 1 species
CGCAAGAGUGAAACUUAAAGAAAUUGACUGGAAGGGCACCACCAGAUGUGGAGCCUGCGGCUUAAUUUGACUCAACACGGGAAAACUUACCAGGACAAGACAUAAUCAUGAUAGACAGAUUGAAGUUCUUUCUAGAUUUUAUGGAUGGUGGUGCAUGGCCGUUCUUAGUUGGUGGAGUGAUUUGUCUGGUUAAUUCCGAUAACGAACGAGACCUCAACCUGCUAACUAGUUGGAGUCUUUUCUUUGUGCUGGGAUGCUGCAUUUCUUUAUGCUCGCCAUCCUCGCUUUCGUCGUCAGUUUUCUGUCGGCUUGAACGUAUUUGGUGAGUGUAGGUAAGUGUUUGUUUUCUUAGUGCAUUUAUAGGAAAGGUUUUUUGCGGGCACGCUGCUGGGCACGAUUAGCUUCGGCUGUUGUGUUUAGUUUGUUUGUUCGAUCAACUUCUUAGAGGAACACUCUGUGUGUAGCAGAUGGAAGCUUGAGGCAAUAACAGGUCUGUGAUGCCCCUAGAUGUUCUGGGCUGCACGCGCGCUACACUGGUGCAUUCAACAAGUUUACAACCUGUGCCGAAAGGUUUUGGGUAAUCUUUUGAAAAUGCAUCGUGAUUGGGAUAGAUGAUUGUAAUUAUUCGUCUUGAACGAGGAAUAUCUAGUAAACGCAAGUCAUCAACUUGCAUUGAUUACGUCCCUGCCCUUUGUACACACCGCCCGUCGCUUCUACCGAUGAAUGGUCCGGUGAAUCCAGUCGAUUGAAACCAUAGCGUUCGUGUAUGAUAAAUACUUGUUCGCUCAGUGUUUCGAGAAGCUGUAUAAACCUUAUCAUUUA